GCCCGGGUGGCGGAACUGGCAGACGCAGAGGACUUAAAAUUCUCUGGGGGGCAACCCCCGUGCGGGUUCAAUCCCCGCCCCGGGCACCA
rnacentral:tRNA from 1 species